UACAGAGGCCUCGAGCGUUAGGCGGAAUCACUGGGCUUAAAGCGUGCGUAGGCGGAUUGGUAAGUAGCUUGUGAAAUCCCACAGCUUAACUGUGGAACUGCUCGGUAUACUGCUGAUCUUGAGCCACUCAGGGGCUACCGGAACAAAUGGUGGAGCGGUGAAAUGCGUAGAUAUCAUUUGGAACGCCAAUGGUGAAAACAGGUAGCUGGGGGUGUGCUGACGCUGAGACACGAAAGCCAGGGGAGCAAACGGG
rnacentral:rRNA from 1 species